GUGAAUAGUACCCCGUGAAUAGUACUUCAGAAUAGUACUUUGUGAAUAGUACUUCAUGAAUAGUACUUUAUAAAUAGUACCCAUGAAUAGUACUUUUAUGAAUAGUACCGUAUAAAUGAAUAGUACUCAUGGACAGUACUCCGGCAUGAAAAGCUUAAAAUUUAACAAGAAUGUGCAGAAAAUAUCCUUGGGAAAUGAUACUAAAUGAAGCGCAAAUUUCAAGGAUAUUCUACUAAUUUCACGGAGUAUAGAAGCAAUACUUUAUCAAAAUGAG
rnacentral:lncRNA from 1 species